UCCUUGGUGGCUCAGUGGUAAAGAAUCUGCCUUCAGUGCAGGAGACACAGGUUUGAUCCCUGGAUCAGGAA
rnacentral:tRNA from 1 species